GGCCAGACUCCUACGGGAGGCAGCAGUGGGGGAUAUUGCACAAUGCGGGAAACCCUGAUGCAGCGACGCCGCGUGGGUGAAGAAGCGCCUCGGCGCGUAAAGCCCUGUCAGCAGGGAAGAAAAUGACGGUACCUGACCAAGAAGCCCCGGCUAACUACGUGCCAGCAGCCGCGGUAAUACGUAGGGGGCAAGCGUUAUCCGGAAUUACUGGGUGUAAAGGGAGCGUAGACGGUGAUGCAAGUCUGGAGUGAAAGCCCGGGGCCCAACCCCGGGACUGCUCUUGGAACUGCGUGGCUGGAGUGCAGGAGGGGCAGGCGGAAUUCCUGGUGUAGCGGUGAAAUGCGUAGAUAUCAGGAGGAACACCGGUGGCGAAGGCGGCCUGCUGGACUGCAACUGACGUUGAGGCCCGAAAGCGUGGGGAGCAAACAGGAUUAGAUACCCCCGUAA
rnacentral:rRNA from 1 species